GCCAAUAUUUGUUUCUUAGGGUUCCUCCGGGAGGCGCUGCCAGUGUGUAGCGAUUUGAUAGAUCGCGCCUGGAAUUCCAGCGAUGCGUUCUUGCUGAAUUAUGUCAUCCCCUCAGCAGAAAUGGCUGACCGGCCUUAAAUCUACAUCGCUGUUCCGGGCGCCUCCGCUAGAUCUCCACGAAAGACAGACCAAGACUGUCGCUUACGUUGAGCUCUUCGGCCAGUUUGCUUCGGACAGCUUUCCUGAAGAUAUUGCGGAGCUUGUUCGUGAUCACUAUCCACACAAGGAACCUUGCCUUUUAGACGACGUGCUAGCUACUUUCGUCCUCCAUCAUCCAGAGCACGGUCACACGAUCCUGCAUCCUCUCCUGUCCUGCGUGAUCGAUGGGACCUUAGCUUACAGCAAAACUACUCCUCCCUUUGGAUCUUUUGUUUCAGUCUUUGGUGUUUCUAGCGAGAGAGAUUUGACAGAGCAAUGGGCUCUUGCCUGUGGAGAGAUAUUGCGCCUCUUGACACACUAUAACCGACCGAUUUACAAGUCUGAGAGUUCUGCUGAUGGAGAGAAAAGAAGCUCUUCUGACAGUGGGGACCCGGCGGACAGAGACGGAAGUGGAAGUCCAGACAACGGAAGGCGAGCACCAAAGCGGCUCUUGACGCCUUGGAUCACAGACAGCCUUCUCGCUGCGCCAUUAGGCACAAAGAGCGACUACUUUCGCUGGUGUGGUGGAGUUUUGGGAAAAUAUGCUGGCGGCGGAGAUCUUAGGCCACCGACAACUGCUGUUAGCGGCAAAGGUCAUGGAAAGCAUCCGCAGCUACUGUCCUCGACUCCUCGGUGGGCUGUUGCAAAUGGAGCCGCAGUUAUUUCCAGUGUGUGCGAUGACGAAGUUUUACGUUACGAGACAGCGGAUUUAACAGCUGCUGCAGUUCCAGCGUUGCUUCUUCCACCUCCAAGCACUAGCCUGGACGAGCAUUUAGUCGCAGGAUUACCACCUCUGGAACCAUUUGCACGCUUGUUUCACCGAUACUAUGCUAUUGCGACUCCUGGAGCUACUCAGCGUUUACUUCUUGGGCUUCUCGAGGCCCCUGCCUCAUGGGCCCCGGAUGCGUUAGACGCUGCUGUUCAGCUGGUUGAGUUACUUCGUGCCGCAGAAGAUUACAGCAGCUCGUCCUUCAGACUGCCUGAGAAUUGGUUCCGUCUUCAUUUUCUCAGGCCGAUGGGUGCAGCGAUGACGAUGAAGCAGGGGAUUGCAUCUGAUGCUGCAGCUGCCUUACUUUUCCGUUUGUUCUCGCAGCCCGCGCUGCUCUUCCCUCCCAGAGGACAUGCGCAAGGCGCUCAGGUCGUGCAGCCUCUAUAUGGACCUCCGAUACGUUUGGAUGGUAGUGAGGAGAUGGAGGCACUGGCAACCCAGGUAAAUGAGGAAGCUACUGCAAAGGGGGUGGCAUCUUUAAUGCGGGACCAUGGCCGCGACGUGGAAUGGCGGAUAUGUGUGCUCUGGGAAGCAGCCUAUGGACUCAUUCCACUUGACAAGUCCGUCGUCGACCUUCCAGAGAUGGUGAUAGCAACGCCUUUGCAGCCACCGCUGCUAUCCUGGACGUUAUUCAGGCCCUUCUUGCGUGUUCUGGAGCACGUACCAAAAGGCUGCCAGUCUCAAACUUGCUUGCGAAGGAUAUUUUCGGCGACAGUGGAUGCUAUCCUGCGAAGAACGUUCCCGCUUGACGACUGGAAAGAACAGAAGAACGGGAACUUCAGAAGUGCGUCGGGCUCAGGGGUUGAUCCUGCCGGGAUGGCGGAGCUACGUGCCUUGGUUCACUGCCUGUUUACGGAGGCGUUCCUUGGUCCGGCUCUUGCGUCGCAGCUACUGUCGGACGCUCUCACAGUCUGCCUCAGCCAUGACACUCUACGCCAGGGGAAUGGAAGUGACAGUAGCAAGAAGAGGAGCACUCACAGCUCAAACAAGGACAGAGGAGCUGUUGCAAGCUUCGACUCGUAUCUCAUUGCGGCGGUCUGCGCACUGGCGUGUGAAGUUCAGCUAUGCACUUUCUCAGCAGCCGAUGGUACUGCUUUCAACGGGGUGACGAACUCGGCGUACCAAGCGCGAAGACUGAUGUCGGUUCUCGAAGGCCUCUUGGUGGUCGAGCCUUUCUCUCCGGGAGUUGGACCCAACACCAACAGUCCCAACGAUCUCGUCGAGGCGGCCAUCGUAGCUGCGCACAUAUCCAGGCUUCUCGGGAGAUCACGGGCUUGCACGCACGCACUGACUGCCAUUGUGCGGUGCAAAUGGGAUCCCGGAGUGAGCUCCAAGGCGGCAUCGAUCCUUGCGUUGGUCGAUGGCAACGACAAAGCAGUGGAAGCAGUGUUCAACUAUGCGGACAAGCUGAGUGGUGACGAGAAGCGCACACUUUCUUCCAAGCAGGCGCAGAAAAUCAUCAGUGGAUUCACGAAAGAUGGCGUGAAGGACGCUUCACUGUCUCUCAACGCCUCCGACGUGACAAACCUCCUGUGCGGUUGCAAUGGAGUGAGCACCACGGUCAGUGACUUGCUCAAGGCGGUGCUCAAGCAAAAGCGAGACUUGGCCGUGGCGAUUGUUCCGCUGCUCUGGCAGAGGCUCAUGUCCGCGGAAGAGCUUCCGACGAGCAAAGAAGGGACGUCAGCCAAGCAGGGAUGGCGUCAGGUUGUGGACGCGGUGUGUAACGUCGUGCUAACGUACCCGGAGAAGGCGACCUCGGUGGUGCUGCUCCAGGAGGCUGGAUUGUUCAGGCUGAAAGAGGUAUCCAACCGUGGAUCAUUGGAGAUGGAGGAGAGGAGAAGUGGCGGAUGAACACGCGCAUUGUCUUCCUGCUGAGCGAGCUUCUCCGGCUGAAUGAUCCACAAGUUCUUGGGCUCAUCGCAAACGCGGGGACACUGCUGUACCAGGCGACCGACGGCAUGUCCGUGGAUGGAGAGCCUUGCACACUGCCACAGCUCGAGUUGCUGGAGGCAAUCGCCAUGGCGAUCAAGUCACUGUGCGCUUGGAAAGUUUCUUCUCGAGGAUUACUGAUCCUGCUCAAGGAACGCUUGCCAGCGAUUGUGAGGUGCCUGUCGCACGACAGUCCUCGCAUCCGAGCGUCGAGCGCUUCAUUGCUGCGAGAGAUCGUUUCGACUGAUGUCUUACGUGCGAGCUAUCCGGGUGACAAAGCUGGCGCUUGGCUUGAGGACGUGGAGCAGUCCAUUGCGUGGGAAACGCAUUACAGGCGAGCGGAAGGACUGUCCGAGUCUUUCCUGGCGUCGGCAGCCAUAGCUCUGGGAUGUAAGCUCCCCCCAAGCUGAAAAACCGGGUUGUUUUUACAAUCUGUGCUAGUACUUGUGCUUGUUCGAUCUAUAUAGCUGACUGGAAUAAGCGAAACCACAGUUUCAGAUUUUAUU